GUUGAACGCUGGCGGCGUGCUUAACACAUGCAAGUCGAUCGGUAACAGGUGUAGCAAUACAUGCUGACGAGAGGCGGACGGGUGAGGAAUAUUUGGGAAUCUGCCCAUCAGCGGGGGACAACCCGGGGAAACUCGGGCUAAUACCGCAUACGCUCUACGGAGGAAAGCCGGGGACCGCAAGGCCUGGCACUGAUGGAUGAGCCCAAAUCGGAUUAGCUAGUUGGCGGGGUAACGGCCCACCAAGGCGACGAUCCGUAGCUGGUCUGAGAGGACGAUCAGCCACACCGGAACUGAGACACGGUCCGGACUCCUACGGGAGGCAGCAGUGGGGAAUAUUGGACAAUGGGGGAAACCCUGAUCCAGCGACGCCGCGUGGGUGAAGAAGGCCUGCGGGUUGUAAAGCCCUUUCGGUAGGGAAGAAAUCUCUUGUCUUAACACGGCAGGAGUUUGACUUAACCUACAUAAGAAGCACCGGCUAACUCUGUGCCAGCAGCCGCGGUAACAC
rnacentral:rRNA from 1 species